rnacentral:misc_RNA from 1 species
AAGUCGUAACAAGGUUUCCGUAGGUGAACCUGCGGAAGGAUCAUUACCAAAUCCAAAUUCUUAACCCCAUGUGAACUAUUGUUUUAGUCUGUCUUUGGGAGAAGGAAUUUAUUUUUCUUCUCCCAAUAGAGUCCGGCAUAACUUUAUUGUUGUGUCCAGAUUCGAAAAAAACCAUAAACCACUUGAUUUUCUGUUGGAAUUACUUUUAUUAAUUUAUAAAUAAAAGACAACUUUUAACGGCGGAUCUCUUGGCUCGU